AUACCUAUUACUCAAAACUACCUGCGCUACUUGCCUGAGUUUAUUUAGGAACAAGGACUGCAUUAAUUACGGGCAAACAAUAUGUUAAUUGCUAAAGGCAGAACGAAUUUUCGAUCAAGAAGCGCCAUCGGCCUAUCCCUUCAAGAUUUCGCCUCGCCCCAUUGGCCACGUCAAUGAGACAAGUUUCUGCCACACCACCUCCGUGUCGAUGAUCAAAACAUUUUGACGCUGAUUACCGGCUCCGCAGAGCACACGGGUUUAACGAACAUGGUCGUUGAUUGAAUAAAGCUAUACUUU